rnacentral:rRNA from 1 species
UACAGAGGGUGCGAGCGUUAAUCGGAAUUACUGGGCGUAAAGCGUGCGUAGACGGUUAUUUAAGUCGGGUGUGAAAGCCCCGGGCUCAACCUGGGAACUGCAGUCGAGACUGUCUAGCUAGAGUAUGGGAGAGGGAAGUGGAAUUUCAGGUGUAGCGGUGAAAUGCGUAGAUAUCCGGAGGAACACCGGUGGCGAAGGCGGCUUCCUGGACCGACACUGACGCUGAGGCGCGAAAGCGUGGGGAGCGAACAGG